GAAGUCCCGCCCGGGUAAGGCGUAGCGAGCCGCCCGGUAGCGAGUGUUGCAGGUCCGACCGGUAACGGCGGGGCUGAAGCGUACACAGCGAUCAUGUGAGGAAUGGGAUUGAGCCACGUAAUUACUGAAGUUGCAGAGGCCGAGCCUGUCCGUUGUGGCGAAGGCGGCCUGUGCGGCUGAGCGGA
rfam:Acidiphilium rubrum strain ATCC 35905 genome assembly, contig: Ga0104712_156